rnacentral:rRNA from 1 species
ACGAACGCUGGCGGCAUGCCUAACACCUGCAAGUCGAACGAGACCUUCGGGUCUAGUGGCGCACGGGUGCGUAACGCGUGGGAACCUGCCCUUAGGUUCGGAAUAACUCCCCGAUAGGGGUGCUAAUACCGGAUAAUGUCUUCGGACCAAAGAUUUAUCGCCUUUGGAUGGGCCCGCGUUGGAUUAGCUAGUUGGUAGGGUAAAAGCCUACCAAGGCGACGAUUCAUAGCUGGUCUGGGAGGAUGAUCAGCCACACUGGGACUGAGACACGGCCCAGACUGCUACGGGAGGCAGCAGUGGGGAAUAUUGGACGAUGGACGAAAGCCUGAUCCAGCAAUGCCGCGUAAGUGAUGAAGGCCUUAGGGUUGUAAAGCUCUUUUACCCGGGAUGAUAAUGACAGUACCGGGAGAAUAAGCUCCGGCUAACUCCGUG